AAUUUUACUAAAUUUUUGUCUAUGUUACGAGCCAAAACAUUGCCAAAUAUAAAGACAGAUGACAUGGUAAGUGUAAUGUCGUAUUUAAUAACUGUUAUUUGAAUUAUUAUUAUAUAAAAUGUGCACAUGUAUCUGACUCAGGAGUGAGCACUGAGCAUUCAAACCCGUCAUCUAUAAUAAUAUUAAUAUAAAACUGAUUGAAAGUGACUGCUUUCGUUCUUUGAAUGAUGGCCUGCCUGUUCACAACUCAUUAAUAUAUGUACAUGCAAAAUUGUUUGAAUUUUCAAGGAAGAAUUUGUCAAUUUGAGUAUUUGUAAACAGUUUUUCGCCUCUGGUACUUUUGCAUAUUUCCACAUUAAAGACAUUUCACUGCAAGUGCACAUAGUCCAUGUAUCUGUAAUUUUAAACUUCAUACUGUUUUGUACACAUGCAGCUGUUGCAGUGUUUCAGGUAUACCAUGCUAGUCACUACAAGUUCCCUUUCUGAUAUAAAGAGUCGUGAUGUACUGGUACCGUAAACUUACGACUAUAAGCCGCCCCCCGAAUAUAAGCCCCCCCCCAUGUAUAAGCCCAUCACAUGUACUAAAGCUCACCUCAUCCCAAAUAUAAGCCCACCCUGAAUAUAAGCCCCCCCCCGAAUAUAAGUCCCCCAAAUUGAUAUAAGCCCAGUAAUUGCUGCUUAAUACAUUUUUAAUUUCCUGUUUAUGACUGACUUGUUUAUGUUUGACUUGUUUAUUACUAACACUAACACAAAAGAUCAUCCAUGUAUAAGCCCCCUGUAUAUAAGCCCCCCCCCCCCUUGUAUAAGCCCAUCAAAAAUCGCUUAUGAAAGUAUAUAAGCCAGGUUUUAUAGUCGGAGGUUUACGGUAUAUGUAUACAGUAUAUGUAUACAGUAUAUGUAUACAGUAUAUUAAAGUAAUUGGAAACCAAAAUUUCAUGGGAUAUAGGUAACAAUUGCAAGUGGAAUUAAUAGUUGAAACAACCUACUUUCCCUCAUGCAUAUAACUUGAUGUGGUAUGAGGGUCGCUAAGCCCGGGCUGGUCUAACCUGAGAUUGGGCUGUAUUAUACGGAUAAUAACCUGACACAAAUAUUAAUCCAAUCACUUUCCACCCACAACAAAGUUUAUAUUUAG
rnacentral:lncRNA from 1 species